rnacentral:rRNA from 1 species
GAGGGGCAUCACGAGGUAGCAAUACUUUGGUGGCGACCGGCGCACGGGUGAGUAACACGUAUGCAACCUACCCUGUACAGGGGGAUAACCCGGAGAAAUUCGGACUAAUAUCCCAUGCAAUUAUUGGAGGGCAUCCUUUGAUAAUUAAAGCUCAGGCGGUAUAGGAUGGGCAUGCGGAACAUUAGCUAGUUGGUAGGGUAACGGCCUACCAAGGCUACGAUGUUUAGGGGACCUGAGAGGGUUAUCCCCCACACUGGUACUGAGACACGGACCAGACUCCUACGGGAGGCAGCAGUGAGGAAUAUUGGUCAAUGGGCGCAAGCCUGAACCAGCCAUCCCGCGUGAAGGAAGAAGGCCCUAUGGGUUGUAAACUUCUUUUCCAGGGGGUGAAUAAUUCCGAUGUAUCGGGAGAUGACGGUACCCUGGGAAUAAGCAUCGGCUAACUCCGUGCCAGCAGCCGCGGUAAUACGGAGGAUGCGAGCGUUAUCCGGAUUUAUUGGGUUUAAAGGGUGCGUAGGCGGAACAAUAAGUCAGUGGUGAAAGACUGCAGCUUAACUGUAGACUUGCCGUUGAUACUGUUGAUCUUGAGUAUGGUCAAGGCAGGCGGAAUGUGUAAUGUAGCGGUGAAAUGCUUAGAUAUUACACAGAACACCGAUUGCGAAGGCAGCUUGCUGGGCCAUUACUGACGCUGAUGCACGAAAGCGUGGGGAUCGAACAGGAUUAGAUACCCUGGUAGUCCACGCAGUAAACGAUGAUCACUCGCUGUUGGCGAUACACAGUCAGCGGCUAAGCAAAAGCAUUAAGUGAUCCACCUGGGGAGU